GAUGAACGCUGGCGGCGUGCUUAACACAUGCAAGUCGAACGGAAAGGCACAAGCUUGCUUGGGUACUCGAGUGGCGAACGGGUGAGUAACACGUGGGUGAUCUGCCCUGCACUUCGGGAUAAGCCUGGGAAACUGGGUCUACUACCAGAUAGGAUCACAUCGUCGUUGUUGUGGAGGAAAGUUUUUUAGCUGUGGGAUGGGCUCGCGGCCGAUCAGCUUGUUGGUGGGGUAAUGGCCUACCAAGGCGUCGACGGGUAGCCGGCCUGAGAGGGUGUACGGCCACAUUGGGACUGGGAGCCGGCGCGGGCUCCUACGGGCGGCAGGAGUGGGGAAUAUUGCACAAUGGGGGGAAGCCGGAUGCAGCGACGCCGCGUGGAGGAUGUCGGCCUUCGGGUGGUAAGCUCCUGUCGCCAAAGACGAAUUUCUGACGGUAUUUGGAGAAGAAGCACCGGCUAACUACGUG
rnacentral:rRNA from 1 species